AAAAAGGGUAUCCGAGUCAGGCGUUCGCAAAGCGCGCCGAGUCGCACUGCGCCUUGGGACCAUCUAGCAUCCUUCGGGGAGCGGGGGUCGAGUUUCCAAUCUGCUCACCCUUCGAUGGGAUCCCUAUGUGCCCAGUGGGGUAUGGCUUUGCAUAUCCGAGGCUCAAUUUUUGAAUGUGGGGCUGACAGCUGCACCUCGUACGGUCCGAAUGGUACGGACCUGUGCGCUGCGCCCCG